ACCAAGAAAGUGGGAACACCUGGCCACUGCGGGUGCAGCCGACCUGCCAUUGGAGAUCGGGAAUGACUAUCUGUUGUGUGCGCGCAGCUGAGGAUGCCCAGGGCCUGGGCUGCAUGGGGGUAGCGUUAAGAUCUGGGCACAGCGUGCGACACUGAAGAAUUAAUGUGACCUCUGAGACUCAAAGGACCUGACUUUGGAUGAAACAAGGAGAGGAAUCAAAUCUGAACACAGGACCUGUCGCUUCCUACCAGGAUGGAAAAGCUGUGGCAGCUAUGGAAUGAUUAAGCAUUCAGCACUCUGUCUGCCACUGUGGAAGGACAGAUGAAGGAGGCUGUGGGAGUUCAGAGGAGGAAGAGUCCCUCGUAAGUGAAGGCAAGUAAGAUGGACUUAAAAAGAAAGUUCUGAUUCCCAAAGCAGAGAUAGGAGAAAAGCCAUCCUAGGGGAAGAGCAAAGUAUGAGCCGAGUUAAAGAGGGGCGAUAUCAUGAGACCUGAGUGUUUUGGGGAGUAAAAUGUAGCUCACGUUGACUCUGAAUGGACAGAACAUAAAGAGGGGCUAAAGGAAAUGAGGCUAGAGGCAGGCUGGUGUACAGCCAUGGAGAGUCACCGUGACAGAUGGUCUCCCAGUCCCUGCUCCCCACUCUUCCUUUAAUAAUAGAAUCCCUUACUUUUAGGUGGAUUCGAUCCCUAGCCCAGGAACCUCCAUAUGCCAUGGGUGUGGCCAAAAAAGAAAAAAAAAAAAAAGUCGAGGCAUUUUUCUGACCUCUUCACCACUAUAUCCUCUGAGGAGUGCCUGACGUAGUGGUUGCUCUGAAAAUAUGUGCUGAAUGACAGAUGUGGUGAAGGUCUAGCCAAUGGGAUGUAAAUGGAAGUGAUGGGUGUAACGUUCACGUGAUGACCAUAAAGCGACGGGACGUGUGCCCACGAGUACCCGUCUUUCUCCAGCCAGCAUGAGCAGGUAAGCAAAGGCAACCCCAGACGGCAAAAGACACCACACUGCCCCUUAGCACCUCACAUGGGACCACAGGGGAGACAGAACUUGUGGAAGUCAAUGUGUCUUUGGAUCUGCGUGACAGCAGCCUAACCUGAAUCCUAAGAAGUCCAUACCAGUUUAAAGUAAUCCAGCCAGGGCAGGUAGAUAGGUAGAGAAACAAGACAGGGUUUUUGAGCACAAAAUAAGGAAGGUGAGGCAGAGUUAUUAACUAUUUCAAUUCUAUACCCAGAACCAUAAAGUUACAUUCAGACUUCAGCCUCAGAAUCCAGAGGAUGUCUCAGCCAACUCCAGUCCUUCUGAGCUUCUCCCUAGCUCCACAGUGACUCUGGACUAUUGUGGGAAGUAAUGCUAGCAAGAAGGUACCUAGAUCUUAUCCACAAAUGAUUUAGCACUGUUUUUUCUACUUACCUGUU